UAGAUAUUUUCUCUGUCCAACAAAGGAUGUCUCAAUUUUAACUAAAUUUAAAUUCAUCUAUACACCAAUCAUGUUUAGAUAUAUCUAAAUUUUGACAAAUUUGAGACAUCUUUUACUGGACAGAGAGAGUACAUU
rfam:Brachypodium distachyon strain Bd21 chromosome 2, whole genome shotgun sequence.